rnacentral:rRNA from 1 species
GUGUCAGCAGCCGCGGUAAUACGGAGGGUGCAAGCGUUAUCCGGAAUCAUUGGGCGUAAAGAGUCCGUAGGUGGCACUUCAAGUCUGCUUUCAAAGACCGAAGCUCAACUUCGGAAAGGGAGUGGAAACUGGAGAGCUAGAGUAUAGUAGGGGUAGAGGGAAUUCCUAGUGUAGCGGUGAAAUGCGUAGAGAUUAGGAAGAACACCAGUGGCGAAGGCGCUCUACUGGGCAUAUACUGACACUGAGGGACGAAAGCUAGGGGAGCGAAAGGGAUUAGAUACCCCUGUAGUCCUAGCGGUAAACGAUGUAUACUAGGCGUAAUUCUGUUAGAAGGACUGUGCCGAAGCUAACGCGUUAAGUAUCCCGCCUGGGGAGUACGCACGCAAGUGUGAAACUUAAAUGAAUUGACGGGG